rnacentral:tRNA from 1 species
UAAUUAGCUAAUUGGCAGAAAAAUGCAUUAGAAUUAGAAUCUAAUCAAACUUUA